rnacentral:rRNA from 1 species
GAGUGGCGAACUGGUGAGUAACACGUGGGAAACCUGCCCAGAAGCGGGGGAUAACACCUGGAAACAGAUGCUAAUACCGCAUAACAACUUGGACCGCAUGGUCCGAGCUUGAAAGAUGGCUUCGGCUAUCACUUUUGGAUGGUCCCGCGGCGUAUUAGCUAGAUGGUGGGGUAACGGCUCACCAUGGCAAUGAUACGUAGCCGACCUGAGAGGGUAAUCGGCCACAUUGGGACUGAGACACGGCCCAAACUCCUACGGGAGGCAGCAGUAGGGAAUCUUCCACAAUGGACGAAAGUCUGAUGGAGCAACGCCGCGUGAGUGAAGAAGGGUUUCGGCUCGUAAAACUCUGUUGUUAAAGAAGAACAUAUCUGAGAGUAACUGUUCAGGUAUUGACGGUAUUUAACCAGAAAGCCACGGCUAACUACGUGCCAGCAGCCGCGGUAAUACGUAGGUGGCAAGCGUUGUCCGGAUUUAUUGGGCGUAAAGCGAGCGCAGGCGGUUUUUUAAGUCUGAUGUGAAAGCCUUCGGCUCAACCGAAGAAGUGCAUCGGAAACUGGGAAACUUGAGUGCAGAAGAGGACAGUGGAACUCCAUGUGUAGCGGUGAAAUGCGUAGAUAUAUGGAAGAACACCAGUGGCGAAGGCGGCUGUCUGGUCUGUAACUGACGCUGAGGCUCGAAAGUAUGGGUAGCAAACAGGAUUAGAUACCCUGGUAGUCCAUACCGUAAACGAUGAAUGCUAAGUGUUGGAGGGUUUCCGCCCUUCAGUGCUGCAGCUAACGCAUUAAGCAUUCCGCCUGGGGAGUACGGCCGCAAGGCUGAAACUCAAAGGAAUUGACGGGGGCCCGCACAAGCGGUGGAGCAUGUGGUUUAAUUCGAAGCUACGCGAAGAACCUUACCAGGUCUUGACAUACUAUGCAAAUCUAAGAGAUUAGACGUUCCCUUCGGGGACAUGGAUACAGGUGGUGCAUGGUUGUCGUCAGCUCGUGUCGUGAGAUGUUGGGUUAAGUCCCGCAACGAGC